GAACUAUGCCAAGAUAGGUAAUGGAUGA
rnacentral:piRNA from 1 species